GGAGGUGUAGCUCAGCACGGUUAGAGCACAUGCCUGUCACGCAUGGGGCCGCGAGUUCAAGUCUCGUCACCUCCG
rnacentral:tRNA from 2 species